CCGGGAGGGGAGUGAAAGAGAACCUGAAACCAUAUGCCUACAAGAAGUCAGAGCCCGUUAAAGGGUGAUGGCGUGCCUUUUGUAGAAUGAACCGGCGAGUUACUGUAUGGAGCGAGGUUAAGCAGGAUAUGCGGAGCCGAAGCGAAAGCGAGUCUUAAGAGGGCGAGAGUUGCAUGCAGUAGACCCGAAACCGGGUGAUCUAGCCAUGACCAGGUUGAAGUUGGGGUAAAACCCGAUGGAGGACCGAACCGACCCCCGUUGAAACGUUGGCGGAUGAGUUGUGGCUAGGGGUGAAAUUCCAAUCGAACCCGGAGAUAGCUGGUUCUCCCCGAAAUAGCUUUAGGGCUAGCGUCGAGGUAAGUUGCGUGAAGGUAGAGCACUGAAUAUGUGAUGGCCCCAUCUCGGGGUACUGAGCAUAAUCAAACUGCGAAUGUCACGCCAACAUGCUCGGCAGUCAGACAGCGGGUGAUAAGGUCCGUUGUCAAGAGGGAAACAGCCCAGACCAUCAGCUAAGGUCCCAAAAUAUAUGCUAAGUGGAAAAGGAUGUGGAGAUGUACAGACAACUAGGAGGUUGGCUCAGAAGCAGCCAUCCUUUAAAGAGUGCGUAACAGCUCACUAGUCGAAUGACUCUGCGCCGAUAAUUUACCGGGGCUAAGCAUACUACCGAAGCUAUGGAUCCCAAGGGAUGGUAGGGGAGCGUUCCAUGAACGGAGAAGCGCGAUCGAGAGGACGCGUGGAGAUCAUGGAAGAGAGAAUGCCGGUGUGAGUAGCGGAACGUGGGUGAGAAUCCCACGCACCGAAAACCCAAGGUUUCCAGAGGAAGGUUCGUCCGCUCUGGGUAAGUCGGGACCUAAGGCGAGGCCGAAAGGCGUAGUCGAUGGACAACAGGUAGAGAUUCCUGUACUCAUAUAUAUGUGAAGGAAUGACGGAGAGAGGAAGCUGCAGCCAGCGGCUGGAAGAGCUGGUGCAAGCGAGAUAUCGGGAUGGCAGGCAAAUCCACCAUCCGAAACGAGAAGGCGUGAAGCGUACGGAAAGCUAAGGCGAGUACGGAAGGCAGUGGAGGAGCUUCCAAGAAAAGUUUCUAACGAAAGUAUAUGUGACCCGUACCGAAAAUGGACACACAUGGGUGAGGAGAGAAUCCUAAGGUGAGCGAGAGAACUAUAGCUAAGGAACUCUGCAAAAUGACUCCGUAACUUAGGGAGAAGGAGUGCUCAUAGAGAUAUGAGCCGCAGUGAAACGGCCCAAGCGACUGUUUACCAAAAACACAGCUCUCUGCUAAGCCGCAAGGCGAAGUAUAGGGGGUGACGCCUGCCCGGUGCUGGAAGGUUAAGGGGAGGGGUUAACGCAAGUGAAGCCCUGAACUGAAGCCCCAGUAAACGGCGGCCGUAACUAUAACGGUCCUAAGGUAGCGAAAUUCCUUGUCAGGUAAGU
rnacentral:rRNA from 1 species